AGUCAGUUGGCUGCUGUGAGGACAAGGAACAGUCAGUGCCCAGAGGAGCUGCCCACAAGAAACAUUAAAGAGGAAUCUGGAAUCUGCAUUUUUGAGGAUUUCCCUACUCCAUGGAGUUUAGCAGGAUGGUAAAAGGGCAAUCACACAAACUGGCCAAAGCCAGCACCAUUUAAAACCCUUGCAUGCAUCUCGUUUUAGCCUCUGCUGUUGCUUUUGCUCCUCAGUUUUCCACCUCAGCCUCACCAGUGGCUCCCAGGGGAGGACACUGUUCAUUUUACAUAAAAGUGGUGUAAAACAUGAGCAGCAAUCAUUCAGCUUCCAAGGAAUACUGUUGCUCUGCUUUUCUUCUGCAUUCAGCCCUGAAUGAAGAAAAUGAGAAAUGUGGGAUGCUUGGAAAGUACAAAUAAAAGAAGCCACCACAAAUGUUUGUAUUGAUCUCAGUUCAGAAGAAAAUUAAAAAUGCUUGCCUGAAAAUCCAGAUGGAUGGCCACUGAAUAUGUAGUCCAAAGACAUUUCCACUAAGAAAAAUCCUAUUGGAAAAGCAUGAUGGAACAAUUCAAUUCUAAAUAAAUGCUCCAAGUAAUUUGAAUCUCCUUACAGGAGUCAAUGCCAAGGGGUUCCAUUUUCACCACAGUCUCACACAGUAAAUAAAAUAGGAGCCAAAAAACAUUUAUUGGUUAAUAUGUAGGCAAGUACAUGCUCUUGUGAUCAGCUUGAUGACAGGUUUUAAGAAUUUAAUUUUGAACAAAUUUUCUAACAACUCUUUCAAAAUCACACACUUGGGAGUACACAUGAAAACAUGUACAGACACCAGUUGAUUAACAUGAUGGAUUUGAGUUUCUGUAAUUUAGCAUUAACUGAUCACUGAUUGUCUCCCAUCCUUAUGUACAUCAGCCACUAUUGUACUUAUUUCCAUUGGUUUUUAAAAUCUCUUAAGCAUUUUUAAAUCCCUAGAGAAUAAGGAAGUGGGUAGCUCAUACAAAAGAGGUUUUUCAUUAGAAAAAAAAGCUUCAGAGUCACUUCUCUUUGUAGCAGCUGAAGAUCUGCCACAGAAUUUAUCCAGCAAAAAUACCAAUCUUCAAGCACUGUUAUGAAGAGUUUUGUGGUUUUUUUCAGAGCUUGUAAUUGGGUGAAAGAUGAGUAACAAACAGGUGCCUUUUGUGACAAGUUUAGAGGUUUACAGACGAGUAAAUUAACUUUAAAAAAAUCAAUUCAGGAUUUCCUUUAAAUUUUAUCUAUUAAUGCCUGCUGGAGUCUGAUGUCUAAACUGAACAAAUAUUUCUGAGUUAUUUAUUACAAAGAGUAUUGGCUAUGAAAUCUGCCUCUUAUUCAGCACUUGAGUGUUUCACACUCUUCAUUUUCCCCUGUUUCAUUCCUCAUCCAGACAGCCCAAAUGUAUUUCCCCCCACAAUUUAAUCAUUAUGAGGGGAAAACCCUCACCCUUACCCUGGGUAAGGCUUGCACAUUACAUUUUUUAACUUGUAAAUGUCUGCUUCUCAACAAGAUCAACCAGAAGUAAAUGUGCUUCUGCAACUAGUUCUUUAAAGUGAGAUUUAUAGUGAGAUUCCCAGUGUUGCUUGGUUUGUAACCUUUGGAAUUACUGAAUUCCCAUCCAAUUAGGCACAAGCUCUGAGCAAUGAGCCACCCUGACUCAGAGUAUCUAGAAUGCAGGUAAAAAUCUCUUGUUUAUUCAGGGAGCAUCUCCUCAGUAUUUGCACAUGAUGAAGGAGAGCAGAGACUCUGAACUCCCCUGUUAUACCAAACAAUAACAGUUUUGAUGUGGGUCUGAUGCUCCUUUCAAGCAAAUAUGGAAAUUAAAGGAACACCCAAAGCUCUAUCUCAACCACACUAAUCCUGUGAAAGCAGUGACUCACCUCGUAAUGGCUUUCCAUAAAUUAGGCAGCUAAAAAUGGGUAGGAAGCAUGAAACCAUUCACAGUUCCUACAGUGUAAAUUCUCUCACUGCAUGUGAAGAAAAUCCAUGGCAGUAAAAAUAAGAGAUGAAGGUGUCAGCACUCGUCAUGUUUAAAUAUGCUGUUAAUAAUUCAGAUUUUCCUCCCUUGGAGCCCAUGGCUUCAGGAUGAAUCACUCUAUUUCCUUCCUCAAAUGAAAGCUGAGCUGCUGUUGCUUUCUAAUCCCAUAUGUUUUCUUCCCAGCUAUGAGAAGAGAAGAAGCCAAGGUGGCCAAAUGUGUUAUUCACAGUGGAACAAUGAUGUGAGAUAGGAAUGAUGAUUUUUCAAUAUAUCCACAGCUAAUUCUUGCUUUUAUCCCACCUUUGUUUUAUGAUACCUCACUGUGUGUGCAGUCACCUUCUACCCUCCACACUGCCAUGGACAUGAGUGAUGGUAAAAGUGACAAAAUUGAUAAAAAGUGACCCAAAAGCAAAGCCCUCAGAGCUGAGGGGAACAGGAGUCACUGCAUCUUUGGGAGCAGCACUGCCUUGGACCUGGCAGGGAUACAGUGCCAAGGGCUGCCACUGUCACUUCUGCUCUGACCAGGUGCACCAGGGGAAAAUAAGGGUUGAAAACUGAAAUUUUAGGGCUGGUAUCUAAGCUUAGCUGGGAACUAAGAUAGCAUGGUUAUACAAAAAACGAAAACAAACCCCAAAAACACAACCAAAAAGUGGUGCCAGACACGACAAAGUGCACAAUUUUCUCAUGGCACAGGAAGGACUGUUCCAGAGCAUCCCAGAAAAGGUGAGAACACAUGGCCUCACACAGGGAGCUGGCAAAGGCUCAACACUGU